GAUGAACGCUGGCGGCGUGCCUAAUACAUGCAAGUCGAGCGAACAGACGAGGAUCUUGCUCCUCUGACGUUAGCGGCGGACGGGUGAGUAACACGUGGAUAACCUACCUAUAAGACUGGGAUAACUUCGGGAAACCGGAGCUAAUACCAGAUUAUAUAUUGAACCGCAUGGUUCAAUAGUGAAAGACGGUUUUGCUGUCACUUAUAGAUGGAUCCGCGCCGCAUUAGCUAGGUGGUAAGGUAACGGCUUACCAAGGCAACGAUGCGUAGCCGACCUGAGAGGGUGGUCGUCCACCCGGGCACUGAGGCUCGGUCCAGACACCUACGCGAAGCAGCAGUAGGGAAUCUUACGCAAUGCGCGAAAGCCUGACGGAGCAAAGUCGGGUGAGUGAUGAAGGUCUAACGAUCGUAAAACUCUGUUAUUAGGGAAGAAGAAAUGUGCAUGUAAAUAUGCACGUCUUGACGGUACAUAAUCAGAAAGCCACGGCUAACUACGUG
rnacentral:rRNA from 1 species